rnacentral:lncRNA from 1 species
CCACAAACACACAAACAUACAACCAAAACAUGCCAUUCAUCCAACCCCAAUACCAAGAACAUACCCCAUACCACCACCAACAAAUGGACCAUCAACCUCAGACCGAACAUCACUUCACCCCCACACCAUCACCCUACCAAAGUCGCAUUAGCCAAAACACUAACCGCCCCUCCUCCUACCGUAGCCAAGAAGCCCAAACAUCACAAAACCAAAAUAUCCCACAACCCUAUGUCUUCCAAACACCCCAACAACCUUUCCAACCUUUCCUAGACGCAUCAUUC